UACAUGGGGUGCAAACGUUGCUCGGAAUUAUUGGGCGUAAAGCGCGCGUAGGCGGUCGGCUAUGUCGGAUGUGAAAGCCUCGGGCUUAACCCGAGAAGGGCAUCCGAAACUGGCUGGCUUGAGUAUGGAAGAGGGUCUCGGAAUUCCCGGUGUAGAGGUGAAAUUCGUAGAUAUCAGGAGGAACACCGGUGGCGAAGGCGGGACUCUGGGCCGAUACUGACGCUGAGGAGCGAAAGCGUGGGGAGCGAACAGG
rnacentral:rRNA from 1 species